UACGUAGGGUGCAAGCGUUAAUCGGAAUUACUGGGCGUAAAGCGUGCGCAGGCGGUUUUGUAAGUCUGUCGUGAAAUCCUCGGGCUCAACCUGGGAAUUGCGAUGGAGACUGCAAGGCUAGAGUCUGGCAGAGGUGAGUAGAAUUCCACGUGUAGCAGUGAAAUGCGUAGAGAUGUGGAGGAACACCGAUGGCGAAGGCAGCCCCCUGGGUCAAGAUUGACGCUCAUGCACGAAAGCGUGGGGAGCAAACAGG
rnacentral:rRNA from 1 species